rnacentral:rRNA from 1 species
UUGGAGGGCAAGUCUGGUGCCAGCAGCCGCGGUAAUUCCAGCUCCAAUAGCGUAUAUUAAAGUUGCUGCAGUUAAAAAGCUCGUAGUUGAAUUUCGGGACCAAUAUGUCGGUCGUGCCUCGGUACGUACUGGCAUCGUUGGUUUCUCCCUUCUGACGAAUCAUGAUGUCAUUUAUUUGGUGUCGUGGGGAAUCAGGACUGUUACUUUGAAAAAAUUAGAGUGUUUAAAGCAGGCUCACGCUUGAAUACAUUAGCAUGGAAUAAUGAAAUAGGACGUUUGAUUCUAUUUUGUUGGCUUCUAGGAUCGACGUAAUGAUUAAUAGGGAUAGUUGGGGGCAUUAGUAUUCAAUUGUCAGAGGUGAAAUUCUUGGAUUUAUUGAAGACUAACUACUGCGAAAGCAUUUGCCAAGGAUAUUUUCAUUAAUCAAGAACGAAAGUUAGGGGAUCGAAGACGAUCAGAUACCGUCGUAGUCUUAACCAUAAACUAUGCCGACUAGGGAUCGGAUGAUGUUAAUUUUUUAAUGACUCAUUCGGCGCCUUACGGGAAAC